rnacentral:rRNA from 1 species
GAUGAACGCUGGCGGCGUGCUUAACACAUGCAAGUCGAACGGAAAGGCUCCUGCUUGCAGGGGUGCUCGAGUGGCGAACGGGUGAGUAACACGUGGGUGAUCUGCCCUGCACUUCGGGAUAACUCCAGGAAACUGGGUCUAAUACCGGAUAGGACGAUGGUUUGGAUGCUGUUGGGGAGAGUUUUUUCGGUGUGGGAUGAGCUCGCGGCCUAUCAGCUUGUUGGUGGGGUAGUGGCCUACCAAGGCGUCGACGGGUAGCCGGCCUGAGAGGGUGUCCGGCCACAUUGGGACUGAGAUACGGCCCAGACUCCUACGGGAGGCAGCAGUGGGGAAUAUUGCACAAUGGGCGGAAGCCUGAUGCAGCGACGCCGCGUGCGGGAUGACGGCCUUCGGGUUGUAAACUCCUUUCGCUUGUGACGAAGCGCAAGUGACGGUAACUGGAGAAGAAGCACCGGCUAACUACGUG